GACGAACGCUGGCGGCGUGCUGAACACAUGCAAGUCGAACGGAAAGGCCCUGCUUUUGUGGGGUGCUCGAGUGGCGAUCGGGUGAGUAACACGUGAGUAACCUGCCCUUGACUUUGGGAUAACUUCAGGAAACUGGGGCUAAUACCGGAUAGGAGCUCCUGCUGCAUGGUGGGGGUUGGAAAGUUUCGGCGGUUGGGGAUGGACUCGCGGCUUAUCAGCUUGUUGGUGGGGUAGUGGCUUACCAAGGCUUUGACGGGUAGCCGGCCUGAGAGGGUGACCGGCCACAUUGGGACUGAGAUACGGCCCAGACUCUUACGGGAGGCAGCAGUGGGGAAUAUUGCACAAUGGGCGGAAGCCUGAUGCAGCAACGCCGCGUGCGGGAUGACGGCCUUCGGGUUGUAAACCGCUUUCGCCUGUGACGAAGCGUGAGUGACGGUAAUGGGUAAAGAAGCACCGGCUAACUACGUG
rnacentral:rRNA from 1 species